AAGCGAGAAGGAAUCGUCGGAGGCGUAGCGGGCUAGCAGCUUUGGAACUUGGAAGGGUGGCGCCGACGGUUUGGGAACAGGGUUGAGCUCGUCGGAGCUCUUGCUACUGGAGUGUACUUGCAUCGUCGUCUUCGAUCGGGGGAGGUGAGAUGAGCAACGGCGUUGCCGCUAAGUGAGAACUGGAUGCGAUUUACAAAUUAGCCACAUUUAGGCUUGUAAUAUUAAAUAUUGUGUGUUUUUUUUUAAUAUGUACAUGGUUCGGUUUUAUGAGUUUAGUGGGUCGGUUUUAUGAGUUUAGAUAUGGGUCGGUUUCUAUGUAAAAACCGAAACUGAACCCGAUUUUUCGGUUUCUAAAAAAUUUAAACCCUAACAGUCGGUUUUGUUUCGGUUUCGGUUUUUUCGGUUUUAGUCGGUUUCUCGGUUUCUUGUUUUGGGUUUGCUCACUCCUACGCAUUUGCCACCCUAAUCAAAACCCUUUUUAUCAAACAUAUUUAUUAUACUACCUGAUAAGGUAUACCGUAUACGCGACCUAAAAUUACUCUGGAGGCGUUUCAUAAAUCUUUCUGUUGUCUUAGAGGAAAAGGUUUGAGACGUCCAUUUUCUAUUUUUAUCGUAAUGUUCAAACUCUAGAGUGAAAAGUCACCCAGCCUCUCGUCAACACUUCUCUCCUCUUUGCCCUAAAUCGACAGCCGCCACACAAACCAUCGGCAGUUCGGCACCUGCGUCGCCGGUCCAUCGUAUCCGGUCAAUCGUCGCCGGUUCACACCCUCCCAUCGACGCACCUCUGUUCUCCACUCGAAGUCAAACAGGCCUGCACACAGAUAAAUAUGUUGUAAGUAAUCUUUCUUUAUUUAAGAGUCAUGAAAUCUGUGAGGCCUCAAUAAGUAAUUACAUGUAUAACAUAAAAGAGUUAUUAAACUUCACAACUUCCAGAUUCUACUUUAGACUAUUUGGCAUGCUAGUUUAUCUUCAAUAGAUCUGUAAGUUAGUAGUACAUUUUAGUUUCUAUCUCAUAUACAAAAUUUAGAUUAACUUAUUGCUCAAUUUAACUAUCCCACUUGAGUUUUCUUAAAUUAUAUCAUUGUCAUUAUACAUUUAUACUCUUUUCAAGAAAUUUUCUUUUAUCAUUGCAUAUGGACAAGUCUUGGAUGAAAAUAGUUUACAGGACAAAGGACCCAAGAUAUGAGUUGGGUGUGAUUGAAUUGCUUAAUUUUUCAUAUUGUGAUAAAGAAGUGUUGUCAAAAGUUCCAUGCCCUUGCAAAAUAUGAAACAAUUUUCGACAUCAUAAUAGAACAACUAUAUUCUCACAUUUGAUGCAAAUGGGAAUUGUUGUUAGUUAUGUUAGGUGGAUGUAUCAUGGUGAGUCAUAUAAUCUGUCGGAUGAUGAAUGAUGAUAUAUAAGUUGAUGGGGCUAGUGAUGAUUUAAAUGAUGAUGACCUUGAAGAAAUGUUAAAUAACAUAGGUCAAAUAUUGAUCCUUUUCAUAUCUAUUUCUAAGAAAAAUAAGAUUUUUUGAAAGUAAAAUGCUAUUUUCUGCAUGUUUUUGUAAAGUUUGCUGUCUAUUUUUGGUUUUUCUGGAAAAUAUUUGAAAGAUAUACAGAAACUAGCACUUGUAGCAGCAAACUUUAAUCAUCUUCAUAUCUAUUUCUUAGAAAAUAUAUUUUUUUUUGAAAAUACAAUGCUAUUUUCUGCAUGUUUUCUAAUGUCUGCUACCCAUUUUUGUUUUUUUCUGGAAAAUGGUUGAAAGAUAUGUAGAAAUAGCACUUGUAGCAUCAUACUUUGAUCAUCUUCAUAUCUGUUUCUUAGAAAACAAGAUUUUUUGAAAGUACAAUGUUGUUUUCUCCAUAUUUUCUAAAGUUUGCUGCCAAUUUUUGUUUUUUUUCUGGAAAAAAACCUAACAAGCUAUGGAUCGAUCAAUGCAAAAUCAUGAUUUUGGAAGUGACAAAAAAAAGACCUUUCUCAUACUCACCACCAGAUUUAAGAUGAACAAUAACAAAAACUAUAAAAAUAGAAAAGACAAAGAUGGAAGAGAUUCCUAGUAAAAUGAACCAAAAAGAAAAAGAGGAAGCAAAGAAAUAUUGAUCAUGAUGGAGCUCCUCCAUGAUUUAAUCUUACAAAGCCUUCACCAUCCAUCUUCAGAGUAAAAACAAUAAUAAUCGAUUUAAUCACUCCACUUAUAUCCACCAUUACUUCCUUUUUCAUACUCACCUCAAAAUCAAAUAAAUUUUCAAAGUACCAGUAUACGUCAAGAAAAUAAAAGAAACAAAAAGAGCUUCUUAAGAUGAGAUCAAGGUUUUAAAAUACGGAAUCGGGCCUCAAGGCGUUUACCCCUCGCCUCACGAGGCGUAAGCCUCGAGGCGAAAUGAGGCGUAAGCCUCGAGGCGGAAUAAAAUAAUAAUAAUAUAUUAUAUUAAUCAUAAAAAAACAUACUAAAGUCCAAUUUCAAACAUAACAGUCUUACUUAAUGUCAUCAUCCCAAAAAUAAAAAGAUACUAAAAUUCAUAAUAGUCUUCAAAUCAUGCCAAAUUAGUAAAAACAAAUGCAUAAUAGUUAACAGGGGGAGUAAGAAGCGGGGAACAACCUCGAUUUUAACUCACAAGUUGAUGACCAUGUUCGAUUUGGCUAACAACAGUUAACAGGGGGAGUAAGAAGAAACGAGAAGAGAAAAGAAAGAAGAAACGAGAGAAUAAGGAGUGACGGCUAGAGAAAAAUUAGGUCAAGUAAAGAUAUCACGUGAUUUCUAAGGUCAAAAAGUCAAAAAAAAAAAAAAAAAAAACCCAGAACGCCUCUUACGCCUCGCCUCGGAACGCCCCGCCUCGGACCGCUUUUCACCGCCUCACAAGACUGAGGCGUGCGCCUCAUUCUCCCCCUAAGAAGCGUAGCCUCAGAAUCGUUUUUCGUCUGCCUCGCCUCGAGGCGCGCCUCGAGGCGUACGCCUCGAACGAUUUUUAAAACCUUGGAUGAGAUGAAACACUAUCUUGCUAGUUCUUGAGGUGGGCGAAUGGAGAAGAUAAGCUGAAGAGUAACAGUGGUGAUACUUUGACUUGAAUUUUUGAGGUGGAAUCUAAUUUAAAUUCUUUAUUUAGUGAAAAAAAUGAUAUCAUUAAAGAAACCAACAAUUACAAGUCAAAGCCUUCUUUUAGCCAGUAAAAAUAGUUUUUACUGUAUGCCCUUAAACUACAAAAAAAAACGUGAAUGACCAUUUAAAACAAAACCAGAUUGUUGGUUGGGCUAGAGUGACAUUAGCCCCAUCUAUUUCUUAGAAAAUAAUUUUUUUUGAAAGAACAAUGUAUAUUUCUGUAUGUUUUCGGAAGUUUGCUGUCCAUUUUUGUUUUUUCUGGAAAAUAUUUAAAAGAUAUGCAGAAACUAGCACUUGUAGCAUCAAACUUUGAUUAUCUUCAUAUGUCUUUCUUAGAAAAAUAAGAUUUUUUUUUAAAAAUACAAUGCUAUUUUCUGCAUAUUUUCUAAAGUCUGCUGUCCAUUUUUGAUUUUAGUAGAAAAUACUUGAAAGAUGUGCAGAAAUCAACACUUUUAGCAUCAAAUUUUGAUUCAUAUCUAUUUUUUUUUGAAAAAUAAGAUUUUUUGAAAGUACAAUGCUAUUUUCUGCAUGUUUUCUAAAGUUUGCUCUCCAUUUUUGGUUUUUCUGGAAAAUACAUGAAAGAUGUGCAGAAGUUAACACUUUUAGCAUCAAAUUUUGAUAAUCUUCAUAUCUAUUUUUUUGAAAAAUAAGAUUUUUUGAAAGUAUAAAGCUAUUUUCCGCAUGUUUUCUAAAGUUUGCUCUCCAUUUUUAGUUUUUCUGGAAAAAUAUUAUAGGCCCAAGGACACAUUCGUUUUCAGCAGAAGGAAGAACAAACCAAAGCACCCCAAUACUAAGUUAUUCGUUGAUGUCUUUUAUCUUUAUGAUCUUUUAAUAUCUGUCAGUUCUUUCUUUUGUAAUGCUCCUCCUACGUUCUGUUAUUAUGGGGGGUGAUGUGUGCAAACUCACUUAGUUUUAAACCUAUUUUUAAUUAUCAAAUAACACACAAAAGGCAGUGAACCUAUCAAUUGUGGUAUAGCUAAAUAAGCAGGGUAUCGAUCACAGGGAACGACAAAUUAAAUUAAAAACUAAUUUUAUCUAAGUUAAUUAAGAAGUAGGGGUUUUCUCUAGUUUUACAAGACUAGAAACUUACUAACUAUUACUAAUUUAAGACUAAAAAAUAACGACUUAACUAGAUUCAAUAAUUGGAAAGGAACUUCUGUUUAGUUCAACUUGGUUAACUCUAUGGUUGAUUUCAAGGUAAUGGUGCAAUGGAUUAAUUCUUUCGUUGGUUACCAAUUCAAGUGAUUAGAUUCGUGUUCACUACCCUAAUCCUUAGCAAAUAAACUAACUUAAACAGUGGCCAAUUGUCUUAUUUAAUUAUAUUCACUAGAUUAAUUAUUCGGGUUAAGUUAGACUUGCAAUAGUUAACUAAUUUAUUCUUUUAAUUAACUCCUUGUUUGAUGGUCAUCUUACAAGCUUGCACAUGAAUUUACUCAAUUUUCUUAUUAAUUCUAGUUUCAUAUUCAUUAAUCCUAGACAUAUAGCAUAGUGAUCACAUAGCAUAUGAGGUCAAUAAUCAAUAGAUGUUCAUGCUAAUCAAUUAUCUUCCUAUUAACAGAAAAUUAAUUAUUAUUCACACACAAGGUUCUUUAGCAAGCUAAAAUAACAAAAAUUCACCAACUUGGAAUUAAUCCUACCAAUCAAUCAAACCAUAUUGUCAACUUUGUAUCCCCAAACAGAAGUCUAAAGGUUUUAGCUCAUAAUUGAAGUAAGUAACAGCAAACAAACAAAGUCAAAUUGCUUAAUCAUAAUGAUAAAACAAAAGAAUAAAUGGAAUGAUGAAAUUUUGCCUCAAUUACUCUCCGGAAUUGAAUUCUAGCUUCCUUCGUCGUCUUCUAGGGUUUCUCUGGCUUCUCAAUCGUAGCAAAGUACUUCUAAAUCGUCCCAGAACUCUUCUCUAUCGAUCUGUGGAAUUAUCUUUAAAUAUACGAAUCGACUCGUCGAGUCAUGUGGUGACUCGUCGAGUCCCUCUCACAUUCCCCGUAUUGUGAUAGCCUUCUGGGAUCCUGAGUCAUUAUCUUCUCGAUCCUUCGAUCGGACUCGUCGAGUCGUCACCCCUACUCGCCGAGUCAAAGCCAUUUUAAGUGUUUUUCCUUCUUUAUUUCUUCCUUGAUCUUUCUCACUGCUUCUACCGCUUCCUUUCGCUUCCGAGCUUCAUCUUUGGACUGAAAAACAUAAUUUAACACUUUUAAGUACUUUUUGUCCAUAAUAUGCAAUAAUUUAGCUAAUAAAUGAGUAAAAAUGUAUACUUAAUAUGAACUAAUUAUGCACAUAUCAAAAUACCCUACACUUGUCUUUUGCUUGCCCCCAAGCAAAACUGAAUUUUAAACAUAUUAGAAUCAUAUAUAAAAACUCCAAUCUAACCCAGCCAUUAUGCCAAGACCGCAACGCAUGCAUUUGUGUCUAAAAUUUUUCCUAAAGACCUCACAUACUCCAAAUACUCGCAAUCCUCAUAAACAUUUGCCCACUCAUCCCGAACUAUGCUCAUUUUAUGCAACCCUCCAAAUCCAUCCGCAGAAAACCUCUUACCCUCAAGGUGUUUUUAAUUGAGCAACCCGAGCAUACAUAAUCUAGAAUUACAACUUUUUGAUACCACUAUGGAGCUCUUUUGAAUUCAUCUCUUCUUCGAUAUUUGCUUUGAUCUCUUUGAAUUCACCACCUUUAUUGUUUGAUUUUCGGGUAUCUUCAACUUUUUGAUUUCUUGGAAUUUUGAUAUUUUGAUCUUCACUUUAAUUGCUCCAAAAUUCAUACAAUUUCUCUUGUAAUUCUCUCUCUCUCUCUCUCUCUCUCUCUCUCUCUCUCUCUCUCUU